rnacentral:rRNA from 1 species
CCUACGGGUGGCAGCAGUGGGGAAUAUUGGACAAUGGGCGAAAGCCUGAUCCAGCCAUGCCGCGUGUGUGAAGAAGGCCUUCGGGUUGUAAAGCACUUUCAGUGGGGAAGAAAGCCUUGGGGCUAAUACCCUCGAGGAAGGACAUCACCCACAGAAGAAGCACCGGCUAACUCCGUGCCAGCAGCCGCGGUAAUACGGAGGGUGCGAGCGUUAAUCGGAAUUACUGGGCGUAAAGCGCGCGUAGGCGGUCUGAUAAGCCGGUUGUGAAAGCCCCGGGCUCAACCUGGGAACGGCAUCCGGAACUGUCAGGCUAGAGUGCAGGAGAGGAAGGUAGAAUUCCCGGUGUAGCGGUGAAAUGCGUAGAGAUCGGGAGGAAUACCAGUGGCGAUGGCGGCCUUCUGGACUGACACUGACGCUGAGGUGCGAAAGCGUGGGUAGCAAACAGGAUUAGAUACCCGAGUAGUC